GACGAACGCUGGCGGCGCGCCUAACACAUGCAAGUCGAACGGAGUUAUUUCAGCAGAAGCUUUCGGGUGGACGCAGGGAUAACUUAGUGGCGAACGGGUGAGUAACACGUGAGGAACCUGCCCUGGAGUGGGGGACAACAGUUGGAAACGACUGCUAAUACCGCAUAAGCCCACGGCCCGGCAUCGGGUUGAGGGAAAAGGAUUUAUUCGCUUCAGGAUGGACUCGCGUCCAAUUAGCUAGUUGGUGAGGUAACGGCCCACCAAGGCGACGAUUGGUAGCCGGACUGAGAGGUUGAACGGCCACAUUGGGACUGAGACACGGCCCAG
rnacentral:rRNA from 1 species